UUAAUUGUUGCGCAAAUGCUACCAUAAACCUUUGACUUUUGAAUAAAUCAAACUAAGCACAAGGCAACUAAGAUACGUGGUGACCAAGAACUCUUAUAUUGAUGUUCAGUUUAUUAUUGGUGAGGCAGUGAUGUAAAGCGCGUCGUGGUGUUUUUAAAUGGAUGAAUGUUGUGCUAACAGACGGGGGGAAACUCCAGGCCUUGCAGUCCUGAUCCUGUAUGAUGCAGAAGAUGUCAAUCCAACCGCACAUUGAUCUCUGCAGCGUGGUCGGUGGGAGGAGAUGUGGCCGAGCAGUUGAACCAGGCUCUAUCGGUGUCAGGACGCGUUGGUGGAGGAGGAGGGCUGAUGGAGGAGAGCCGACGGAGCCAUGGUGGACGAGAGCCGACGGAGCCAUGGUGGACGAGAGCCGACGGAGCCAUGGUGGACGAGAGCCGACGGAGCCAUGGUGGACGAGAGCCGACGGAGCCAUGGUGGACGAGAGCCGACGGAGCCAUGGUGGACGAGAGCCGACGGAGGAGCCGUGGUGGACGAGAGCCGACGGAGGAGCCGUGGUGGAGGUCCUGCCUUAAGAAUGAUGUCGGGACCCAAUGCCCUUGGCUGAUGGAGGAACUGCAUCUGGAGGACGACCAUGAAUCUACCUGCCAACAGGUGGUACUGGUUUGCACUGGUUUGCAUGAACUGAACAUGGUGGACAUGAGGCAAAUUCCCUGCUUUUUGCUCCAGACCAGGACUCUGUGAUGGAGGGGUGGUGAUGGAGCCGUGCUGAGGACCUGCUGGUGAAGGACGUCCCUCGGUGGGGGGGGCAAGGACAGCCGACCCUGAGGUGAUUAUACCUUACACUGCCACCUCAAUGUGAAGGAGUAGGCUGCUAGACUAGCCACUCCACCAGCCCUACAUCGGUCUCUUCAGCCAUCGUUUUGAUCAGAAUGAUUUUGAGAAAAAAGUCGCUGGGUUAAUGGAGCUGUGAGUGAACAGGAUUUAUUCACUCACAAUUUUGCUCUCCAUUUGAGGCUGCAGCGUCUGAUUUCUCACAUGAGUUCUGAAAGUUGUUAUUCUGUAAAGGGGACGUAUUAUACCACCAGGUGUGAGUGU